AGCGGAGGGGGUGUAGAAAUAAGAGAGGAGGGGUGAGAAAUAUUCUCCUCUCCAUACAUAGAACAGAGCACGAUGUCGGUUGCAUUUGCUACUCCCCGGCAGCGCGGGAAAGGUGAAAUUACACCUGCCGCCAUUCAGAAGUUACUGGAUGAAAACAACCAGCUUAUCCAAUGCAUAAUGGAUUACCAGAGCAAAGGGAAAACUGCCGAAUGUUCGCAGUACCAGCAAAUGCUUCAUAGAAAUUUGGUCUAUCUGGCAACAAUAGCAGAUUCCAAUCAGAACAUGCAGUCACUCUUACCAGCUCCUCCCACACAGUCCAUGCCCAUGGGACCUGGUGGAAUGAACCAGCUCCCUCCCGGGCACAGCAUGGGCACAGACAGUAUGGUUGGUGGAGGUGGAGGAGGGCCCCCGACGUCACACAUGCAGAACCAGAUGAAUGGACAAAUACCUGGCCCAAACCACAUGCCAGUGCAAGGGCCAGGCCAACCGAGCAUGGCCAAUGCCUCAGUUACCAUGCCAACCAGUAGCCAUGGCUCCAUGGGAGGCUACAGUCAUUCAGUGCCAUCUUCACAGGGAAUGCCAGUGCAGAGCCAGAUGAAUAUGAACCCGGGACAAUCGAUGAGUAACUACGGCCCUCGAACAAACAUGAACAUGCAGCCGAGCCAAGGCCCCAUGAUGCACCAACAAGCAUCUGCCUCGCAGUACAAUAUGCCCCAGGGGGCGAGCCAACAUUACCCCAACCAGCCGCCCAUGUCCAUGAUGAAUCCAGUGAACCAGGCAAACCACAUGAUGGGCCAGAGACAGAUGCCUCCGUACAGACCAGCUCAGCAAGGUCCUCUCCAGCAAUACGCAGGGCAGGAGGAUUACUACAAUGACCAGUUCAAUCAUGGACAGGGGACCCCAGAGAGCAUGAACCAGCAGUAUUAUCCUGAUGGGCCCAAUGACUACAGUUACCAUCAGCUAUCGUAUCCUGAACAAGGCUAUGAUAGGCCUUAUGAGGAUUCCUCACAGCACUACUGCGAAGGAGGUAACUCGCAGUACAGUCAACAACAAGAGACCUACCAGCAAGGACCACCUCAGCAACAGGGCUACCCACAGCAGCAGUACUCAACUCAACAAGGCUAUCCAACCCAGCAGCAGGGUUAUGGUUCUUCCCAACCUCCUCCGAACCAGUAUCCAAACUAUCCACAAGGCCAGGGUCAGCAGUAUGGGGGCUACAGAACCCCCCAACCUGGACCACCCCAGCAGCAGCAGAGGCCUUAUGGGUAUGACCAGAACUUGCAAUGAAUCGUCUGCGGAGCCUGGGAAGAACGUGGCCACUCACCCAGAAAGUUUUUAGUUUCCACGCUUGGCCCCCCAGUCAGCCACAGGAGGAGGAAGAAUGCAAAAUGGAACACAAGCUCACACCGGUCACAAAGACACAGCCAGGGACGGGGGGGGAAAUUGAUGACUUUCGGACACUGCAUGCAAUGGGAGGAGCAUUGCUCAUUCUGUGAUUGCCACAUGACUCAGGCUGUUGGUGACCAGAUUGACGAGACCGUUGGUAACCAGGUUAAGCAGACCAGUGCUCCUCUCACCCUCCCCGUACCCCACUGUGUCCAGCUAUUUCUGACCAUCAUACACCCCAUCGUCACUUCACUGUGCCUCUUGGGUCUAUCCAACUUCACAAAUCAUUUGAUGCAAGACUUGACCAAACGCCGUCUUCUGUUUUUUCGAUAUGGAGCAGGCGUGUUGGAGGUCCCAGACUUCGAUCUGAUUGUGCACCGAUCUUUUUGUGACAGACCUCCGCUGUGCAUGGGACUCAGCAGAUAGCACCUCCUCCAGCACAAUCUGAUCUCUCAUCUUGUACUCCUAGGCCCCAGACUCUGCAAUAAUCCCUUUCUCCAUAGUUCUUGAUGUCCUCACCAGCCUGGUUCAUCCUCUCUCAAGAUCACACCGAGAUUGAUUGUUUGUUUGUUUUUUUUUUCAAAUUGAAGAUGCUGAGAAACCGGGAUAUUGAAGAAUUGUCCGUUACCGACAUGAAAUAGUGUUUUCUGCUUUUGUUUUGUAUUGAUUUGCUACACUAUGCAGGAGAGAGAAAGUGAGCAAGGCUUUUGCUUGAAGUGCAAGUAUUUCUGGAGACUGGACAUUAGGCUCACACACAGCUUUCCGAAACAAUAUUGAUAAAACCCAUUCCCAGCGUCAAGUUAAAUAACUCAAGGCCCAGUAUGGGAAUUACCAGCAGUGAGUCAGUCGUAUCGUUUUUUUCCAGUCGCCUGACGUUCUGAUAAGGGCCUUGUUUUUUAACCCUCUGCACUGUGGGUGUCUAACCGCCACCAGCAAUUCAUCAAAGUUUCACCUCCUUGUGUCCAGGACAAGCAUUUUGACGUCUAAGUAGCUGAUGCCAUUGCCUCUGAGGUUGGGCAGUACCCAGUCUAAUACCUAGUGGCUAAUUGCAGGCCAUCGCUGUGUGACAUCAUCUCUAAGACGUGAAGGGUCUUCUUAACAGUUCUUCAGCAGUGACGUUAACAUAGAAUAUUGAGAAAGAGGACCCCUCUCUUCGCCCCCCACCCCCCCCCACACUAACCACCACCCUGCAUCUCCCCUCCCACCAAGCCCCCCACCUUGCUAAAUUUGACCACCAGCACUCAUCCAGUCAAUGGGAUCUUGUGCUAAAUUUUGAGAUACCCUGCUUUGGUCACCUGAGAGAGAGAGAGGGGGCACAUAGAGGCUUCACCAUCUGCUUUUCCGAGACCCUGAUCAUCUCUGUAAAUUAACCACUCACUGUGCCAUAUUUGUUUCUCACACUGACUUUACUUAAGCAGAAUUAACAUUUGUUACGAGCAGGAUUUACUUUUUAAAAAGCGGACGAGCAGAUUUUCCUUGAGUGGGGGGAAAAACGUGAUGCAUUUGAUUUUCAGGAAAGAAACUCUAUUUUAAAUGAAAAUAGACUGAGGAGAGAAGCUGUCGGCCAAUUUGAUUGAAUUGUGGGUGACUAAUAUUUAAAAUCUGCUCGGGUUACAUGUAAACCAGUAAACAAGCUCAAACUUUGUGAAAUCUCCUCCCAGGAGGAAAUUUCAAAGAAAAGUUCCACCAGGGUCAAUCGUUGUUGCACAAACUUGUUUUAACGUAAAAUGAUGACAAUUUUGUAUUGUUACGUAUUGAACAAUAGACUAGAAGAAUUUGUUACGCUUCUGAUUUUUAACUUGAUUGUUUUAAAGAGUGGGGUUUUGCUUUGAGUAGUAAUUGACUUUUAUUUGUCCCAAACAGACCCUCCUUUAAGCAUCUCCAACCCCCCUCCCCACACCAAACCGAGCCCUUUCUGUUUUUAAAGACGUAUUUCGGAGGGUAGGUGGUGAUUUCUGGACAUUUGGUUAACCUGAUCAUUGUGUGUACAGAUUUGGCAAAGGAACUCAAACAGUAUUAUUAUUCACAUCUGUACUCAUCAACCAUUUGUACGUUCUGUGACAGACCCCUCCGCACAGUAUUUUGUUGAUAUUUGAAAUAUGUGCAUCACUGGAUCAUUACUAAAAGGCAAAUAAAUUAUUGUGAUUUCACAA